GAUGAACGCUGGCGGCGUGCCUAAUACAUGCAAGUCGAGCGAACGGACGAGAAGCUUGCUUCUCUGAUGUUAGCGGCGGACGGGUGAGUAACACGUGGAUAACCUACCUAUAAGACUGGGAUAACUUCGGGAAACCGGAGCUAAUACCGGAUAAUAUUUUGAACCGCAUGGUUCAAAAGUGAAAGACGGUCUUGCUGUCACUUAUAGAUGGAUCCGCGCUGCAUUAGCUAGUUGGUAAGGUAACGGCUUACCAAGGCAACGAUGCAUAGCCGACCUGAGAGGGUGAUCGGCCACACUGGAACUGAGACACGGUCCAGACUCCUACGGGAGGCAGCAGUAGGGAAUCUUCCGCAAUGGGCGAGAGCCUGACGGAGCAACGCCGCGUGAGUGGUGAAGGUCUUCGGAUCGUAAAACUCUGUUAUUAGGGAAGAACAUAUGUGUAAGUAACUGUGCACAUCUUGACGGUACCUAAUCAGAAAGCCACGGCUAACUACGUGCCAGCAGCCGCGGUAAUACGUAGGUGGCAAGCGUUAUCCGGAAUUAUUGGGCGUAAAGCGCGCGUAGGCGGUUUUUUAAGUCUGAUGUGAAAGCCCACGGCUCAACCGUGGAGGGUCAUUGGAAACUGGAGAACUUGAGUGCAGAAGAGGAAAGUGGAAUUCCAUGUGUAGCGGUGAAAUGCGCAGAGAUAUGGAGGAACACCAGUGGCGAAGGCGACUUUCUGGUCUGUAACUGACGCUGAUGUGCGAAAGCGUGGGGAUCAAACAGGAUUAGAUACCCUGGUAGUCCACGCCGUAAACGAUGAGUGCUAAGUGUUAGGGGGUUUCCGCCCCUUAGUGCUGCAGCUAACGCAUUAAGCACUCCGCCUGGGGAGUACGACCGCAAGGUUGAAACUCAAAGGAAUUGACGGGGACCCGCACAAGCGGUGGAGCAUGUGGUUUAAUUCGAAGCAACGCGAAGAACCUUACCAAAUCUUGACAUCCUUUGACAACUCUAGAGAUAGAGCCUUCCCCUUCGGGGGACAAAGUGACAGGUGGUGCAUGGUUGUCGUCAGCUCGUGUCGUGAGAUGUUGGGUUAAGUCCCGCAACGAGCGCAACCCUUAAGCUUAGUUGCCAUCAUUAAGUUGGGCACUCUAAGUUGACUGCCGGUGACAAACCGGAGGAAGGUGGGGAUGACGUCAAAUCAUCAUGCCCCUUAUGAUUUGGGCUACACACGUGCUACAAUGGACAAUACAAAGGGCAGCGAAACCGCGAGGUCAAGCAAAUCCCAUAAAGUUGUUCUCAGUUCGGAUUGUAGUCUGCAACUCGACUACAUGAAGCUGGAAUCGCUAGUAAUCGUAGAUCAGCAUGCUACGGUGAAUACGUUCCCGGGUCU
rnacentral:rRNA from 1 species